AUUGAACGCUGGCGGCAGGCCUAACACAUGCAAGUCGAGCGGAUGAAGGGAGCUUGCUCCUGGAUUCAGCGGCGGACGGGUGAGUAAUGCCUAGGAAUCUGCCUGGUAGUGGGGGAUAACGUCCGGAAACGGGCGCUAGUACCGCAUCCGACCUGAGGGAGAAAGUGGGGGAUCUUCGGACGUCACACUAUCAUGUUAGCCUAGGUCCGAUUAGCUAGUUGGUUGGGUAAAGGCCUACCAAGGCGACGAGGCGUAACUGGUCUGAGAGGAUGAUCAGUCACACUGGCACAGAGACAGGGCACAGACUCCGACACGGAGACACAGUGGGGAAUCCUGCACAAUGCACGAAUGCCUGAUAUAGCACUGCCGGCUGUAUGAUGAUGCUCCUAUGCUUCUAAAGUACUUUAAGUCGGGAGGUAGGACAGUAAGUUUAUACCUUGCUGUUUUGACAUUACCAACAGAAUAAGCUCCGGCUAACUUCGUG
rnacentral:rRNA from 1 species